CCCGCCGGCGACCGGCGCACGGGUGAGUAACACGUAUGCAACCUGGCCGCCACAGGGGGGAUAACCCGCGGAAACGCGGCCUAAUACCCCGUGACGCCACCGGAGGGCAUCCUCCGGUGGCCAAAGGAGCGAUCCGGUGGCGGAUGGGCAUGCGGCGCAUUAGCUAGACGGCGGGGUGCGGCCCACCGUGGCGACGAUGCGUAGGGGUUCUGAGAGGAAGGCCCCCCACACUGGGACUGAGACACGGCCCAGACUCCUACGGGAGGCAGCAG
rnacentral:rRNA from 1 species